UACAGAGGUCUCAAGCGUUGUUCGGAUUCAUUGGGCGUAAAGGGUGCGUAGGCGGCGCGGUAAGUCGGGUGUGAAAUUUCGAGGCUUAACUUCGAAACUGCAUUCGAUACUGCCGUGCUUGAGGACUGGAGAGGAGACUGGAAUUUACGGUGUAGCGGUGAAAUGCGUAGAUAUCGUAAGGAGGACCAGUGGCGAAGGCGGGUCUCUGGACAGUUCCUGACGCUGAGGCACGAAGGCCAGGGGAGCAAACGGG
rnacentral:rRNA from 1 species